rnacentral:lncRNA from 1 species
ACUAGCAAACUAACAAACUAAACUACAUUAGACGCAAUAUCACGCAAUCAUCUGGAAUAGAGUUGUGGGAAAUUUCCAUUUCACUACAAUUGAGGAGCUACAUGAAACAAUCAGAGAAGUGUACCUGGGUGCAGAAAUUCAACAAGAAGAAGAAGUCAGAAACAAAGCGAGCAGCAACCAAAUAACAGCCCAAAAAUGUUUAUGACGAUCCAGGAGGAUCUUAGAAAUCAGCCAAAAUCAUAAAAUCAAUCAACAUCCCCUGAAUGCAUUAACUAAAUUCCAAAAUCACCCAGGGCCUUUUCACUAGCCUCAAAGAAACAAGUUCAAUUCAAACACAUUGAUUCCAACUUCAGAUCAACCCAGAAAUGUUUAGAAAUGGAGCAAUAACAAUAGACCACUUCAUUACAUGAUUGAAAAAUCCAAAUGACCCCUAAUGAACCCAAUGUUAGACAAAAACUAUUCGAAACCACUCAGACCAACUAAAAACUGGACUAGAACCAUUUUUUAAAUUACCAAAUGGUAGACACAGCCUAAAAUAGUCCUGCUUGAACCCCAAAUUCCCUCACAAUCAAUAGACAAUACCCCCCAAAACGUUGAAUGAUCAGAAACCAAACUAAAAUGUAGGGCAAUAACUUGAAGAUAAAAUUCACACAGAAUUCCAAUCAAACAAUAUCUUUUCUUUGGUUAUCUGCAGUUUUGGAUUAUUUUUUGUUUAUUUUCUGUUGAAGAAUGCUAAGAUCUAAGGGGAUUUCAGAUCUGAAUUUCAGAUCUG